rnacentral:rRNA from 1 species
UAAUCAAGCCUGGUGAUAGCUGGUUCUCCCCGAAAGCUAUUUAGGUAGCGCCUCGGACGAAUACCAUAGGGGGUAGAGCACUGUUUCGGCUAGGGGGUCAUCCCGACUUACCAAACCGAUGCAAACUCCGAAUACCUAUGAGUACUAUCCGGGAGACAGACUGCGGGUGCUAACGUCCGUAGUCAAGAGGAAAACAAUCCAGACCGCCAGCUAAGGCCCCAAAAUCAUAGUUAAGUGGGAAACGAUGUGGGAAGGCAUAGACAGCUAGGAGGUUGGCUUAGAAGCAGCCACCCUUUAAAGAAAGCGUAAUAGCUCACUAGUCGAGUCGGCCUGCGCGGAAGAUGUAACGGGGCUAAAACUAUGUGCCGAAGCUGCGGAUGUAUACUUUGUAUACGUGGUAGGGGAGCGUUCUGUAAGCCGAUGAAGGUGUGUUGAGAAGCAUGCUGGAGGUAUCAGAAGUGCGAAUGCUGACGUGAGUAACGACAAAACGGGUGAAAAACCCGUUCGCCGAAAGACCAAGGGUUCCAGUCCAACGUUAAUCGGGGCUGGGUGAGUCGACCCCUAAGGCGAGGCCGAAAGGCGUAGUCGAUGGGAAAAUGGUUAAUAUUCCAUUACUUCUGUGUAAUGCGAUGAGAGGACGGAGAAGGCUAAAUCAGCCUGGCGUUGGUUGUCCAGGUGAAAGGAUGUAGGCAUGUAUCUUAGGCAAAUCCGGGGUACUCUAUGCUGAGAUCUGAUAGCAAGCUGUACUUGUACAGCGAAGUGGUUGAUGCCAUGCUUCCAGGAAAAGUCUCUAAGCUUCAGUUACACAGGAAUCGUACCCGAAACCGACACAGGUGGUCAGGUCGAGUAGACCAAGGCGCUUGAGAGAACUCUGCUGAAGGAACUAGGCAAAAUGGUACCGUAACUUCGGGAGAAGGUACGCUGUUGUUGGUGAUGGAACUCGCUUCCUGAGCUGACGACAGCCGCAGAAACCAGGCCGCUGCAACUGUUUAUUAAAAACAUAGCACUCUGCAAACACGAAAGUGGACGUAUAGGGUGUGAUGCCUGCCCGGUGCUGGAAGGUUAAUUGAUGGGGUUAGCGUAAGCGAAGCUCUUGAUCGAAGCCCCAGUAAACGGCGGCCGUAACUAUAACGGUCCUAAGGUAGCGAAAUUCCUUGUCGGGUAAGUUCCGACCUGCACGAAUGGCAUAAUGAUGGCGGCGCUGUCUCCAGCAGAGGCUCAGUGAAAUCGAAAUCGCUGUGAAGAUGCAGUGUACCCGCGGCUAGACGGAAAGACCCCGUGAACCUUUACUGCAGCUUGACACUGAACUUUGACCUUACUUGUGUAGGAUAGGUGGGAGGCUUUGAAGCUGGAACGCUAGUUCCAGUGGAGCCGUCCUUGAAAUACCACCCUGGUAAUGUUGAGGUUCUAACUCUGUCCCGUGAUCCGGGACGAGGACCGUGUCUGGUGGGUAGUUUGACUGGGGCGGUCUCCUCCUAAAGAGUAACGGAGGAGUACGAAGGUGCGCUCAGCGUGGUCGGAAAUCACGCGUAGAGUAUAAAGGCAAAAGCGCGCUUAACUGCGAGACCCACAAGUCGAGCAGGUACGAAAGUAGGUCUUAGUGAUCCGGUGGUUCUGUAUGGAAGGGCCAUCGCUCAACGGAUAAAAGGUACUCUGGGGAUAACAGGCUGAUACCGCCCAAGAGUUCAUAUCGACGGCGGUGUUUGGCACCUCGAUGUCGGCUCAUCUCAUCCUGGGGCUGAAGCAGGUCCCAAGGGUAUGGCUGUUCGCCAUUUAAAGAGGUACGCGAGCUGGGUUUAGAACGUCGUGAGACAGUUCGGUCCCUAUCUACCGUGGGCGCUGGAAAUUUGAGAGGAUCUGCUCCUAGUACGAGAGGACCAGAGUGGACGAACCUCUGGUGUACCGGUUGUGACGCCAGUCGCAUCGCCGGGUAGCUAUGUUCGGAAGGGAUAACCGCUGAAAGCAUCUAAGCGGGAAGCCUACCUCAAGAUAAGAUUUCCCUAGGACUUUAUGUCCUCUAAAGAGCCGUUCGAGACUAGGACGUUGAUAGGUUGGAUGUGGAAGCAUAGUGAUAUGUGAAGCUGACCAAUACUAAUUGCUCGUGAGGCUUGACUAU